AAAUAGUGAUCAACUUUUUGGCGCCGUUGCCGGGGACUGUUAAGAAGUUGCUUUAAUAUUUUCGAUAGGACUUUAUAGUACUACAGGUUUUAUUUGUUUUUUUUUUUCUCUGCUCUAAUUUUUAAAGUGUGAUUUUGUAGGUUUCGCAUGAACACAAGAUCUCACGGUAGUCCUCUUUUUAAGUUUGAUCCUGAAAUCAACGCUACUUUGCGCAAUAUCACCAAGCAAAAGAAUCAAGCUGAGCAGGAUACGAUGGCUACUCCUGAGCAAAUCCAAAUUCAAAUGCGAGCUCUGCAAGAGCAAGUGAAGAAGUUACUUGAUGAAAAGGCGGCUACAGAGGCUCAGAAGCCUC
rnacentral:lncRNA from 1 species